CCUACGGGGGGCAGCAGUGGGGAAUAUUGCGCAAUGGGCGAAAGCCUGACGCAGCGACGCCGCGUGAGGGAUGAAGGUCUUCGGAUCGUAAACCUCUGUCAGCAGGGCAGAACGGUCACUGUGCUAAUCAGCAGUGAAUUGACGGUACCUACAAAGGAAGCACCGGCUAACUCCGUGCCAGCAGCCGCGGUAAUACGGAGGGUGCGAGCGUUAAUCGGAAUUACUGGGCGUAAAGCGCUCGUAGGAGGUAUGUCAAGUCAAGGGUGAAAUCCCCGCGCUCAACGUGGGAACUGCCUGUGAAACUGGCAAACUGGAGUGUGUGAGAGGAUAGUGGAAUGCCAGGUGUAGGAGUGAAAGCCGUAGAUAUCUGGAGGAACAUCAGUGGCGAAGGCGACUAUCUGGCACAUAACUGACGCUGAGGAGCGAAAGCGUGGGUAGCAAACAGGAUUAGAUACCCUUGUAGUC
rnacentral:rRNA from 1 species